rnacentral:rRNA from 1 species
GCGAUAGGUCAUCACUUCUGGAAUGGGUAAUGACUUAAAUCUAUAUGGCCCCUGGAUUGGACUGCGGCCGAUCAGGCUGUUGGUGAGGUAAUGGCCCACCAAACCUGUAACCGGUACGGGCUCUGAGAGGAGGAGCCCGGAGAUGGGCACUGAGACAAGGGCCCAGGCCCUAUGGGGCGCAGCAGGCGCGAAACCUCUGCAAUAGGCGAAAGCUUGACAGGGUUACUCUGAGUGAUUUCCGUUAAGGAGAUCUUUUGGCACCUCUAAAAAUGGUGCAGAAUAAGGGGUGGGCAAGUCUGGUGUCAGCCGCCGCGGUAAUACCAGCACCCCGAGUGGUCGGGACGUUUAUUGGGCCUAAAGCAUCCGUAGCCGGUUCUACAAGUCUUCCGUUAAAUCCACCUGCUUAACAGAUGGGCUGCGGAAGAUACUAUAGAGCUAGGAGGCGGGAGAGGCAAGCGGUACUCGAUGGGUAGGGGUAAAAUCCGUUGAUCCAUUGAAGACCACCAGUGGCGAAGGCGGCUUGCCAGAACGCGCUCGACGGUGAGGGAUGAAAGCUGGGGGAGCAAACCGGAUUAGAUACCCGGGUAGUCCCAGCUGUAAACGAUGCAGACUCGGUGAUGAGUUGGCUUAUUGCUAACUCAGUGCCGCAGGGAAGCCGUUAAGUUUGCCGCCUGGGGAGUACGGUCGCAAGACUGAAACUUAAAGGAAUUGGCGGGGGA